GGAUGCGAUCAUACCAGCACUGAAUCACAGGAUCCCAUCAGAACUCCGAAGAUAAGCGUGCU
rnacentral:rRNA from 1 species